rnacentral:sRNA from 1 species
UAUUGCAUUAAAUAAUCAGUAGAAUCUUGGUAUCACAUGACGACAGGAGCUUAAUCAGCGCUAGGAACACCAUAAAAACGCUGUUAUGCUCGUUAGGCUAAAUAGCACCACCUACAAUAAUAUAUGGCUUUCCUACCCAAUUAAUCUACCUGCACGUAAACGUUGGUAUGCGUUAAUUAUAAACCCGGUAAAGUAAUAAACUAUUGCAAUUUUUAUUUUACGCAAAUUACGUUAUAAAAUUAUAUCCAUAACGUCCAUAACUAUUUAUUUCUUUUUUCAAAAUAAAAACUAUUUUUAAAAAUAACCCCUAUUUUCCCAAAAUCCAUUUAAUUUACCAUAUUUUAUAACGAAAAACUCCAAAAACCAAUUACCGUUUUAAAUUUCCGAGCAGGGUGGCCAAAAUGGUAUAAAAUUUACCGCCAAAAUACCAAAAUUUUACGCGUUUGGAAAUUGGUAAAUCCCGACCAACAAAUUUACAAAAAACUCGUAACGUUCGAUAAAUUUACAAAAUUAAUUACCGAAACGUUUAAAUAUAUAAAAUUCGCAAUAUACGAAAUACGAUUUAGAAUUUAAAACUCCAAUAAUAUAUAAAAAAAAGCAAAAAUCCGAAAUUACGUAAAAACGUUUUAAAAAAAGACGUUUUGUUUUUAAAAUGUUGGAAAAACCUAUUAUAUUAACAAAUUUUAUUUUUUCCGAGUUUAAAAACGUAAUAAACAAAACGCGUAAAUAAUAGGAAACUUUCGACAAUUAUAUAAAUAAAUAAUUUAAAAAAAUUAAUUUAUUGCAUUAAUAAAUUAUUAAAAAUAUAAAUCCCACGUAUUUUAACAUCGUUUUAUUUACCGCGCACCGCAACGGCUGGAACACGUUUUAAAAAAUUAUUAAAACGUUUAAAAAAAAUUCCCGUUAUUAAAAUUUUACGCCAAAAAACAAAUUAUUAAAAAUUACCGCGUCAUUUUAAUAUUAACGCGUAUUAUAAAUAAUAAAAUUAAUUGGUUUGAAAUUUAUAACGCGGCGUACAAAAAAAGGCGCAAUUACCAAAUAAUUAAUUUCGAAAAAAAUUUAAUUAUUAGGAAAUUUGCAAAAACCGGAAAACAUUUCCAACCUUUUUGGGUUAUAAAUUUACGGAACGAGUUUAACAAAUUAAAUUAUACAAUUAUUUUGGAUUACGCGUUUAAUUAAUUUAAAAAUAUUUUUAAUAAUUAUAUUAUUAACCUUUUAAUCGGCGGAGGGCGCAAUUUCGCUAAAUUUUUUAUAACGUUUGGAAAAUUUAUUAAAAAAUAUAUCCAAAACGCGAUUUGUAAAUAUAAUAAUAAUUAAAAUAAAAAGCGAAUUAAUUACAAAUAUUUUUAUAACGUUAAUUACCAUUUUUGGCCGGUUUACCAAUAUUUCGCAUUUAUAUACGUUUUAACCAAUUGGAACCCCGGGUUAUAAUUCCACAAAAUCUUUUCGCAAACAAAAUGCAAAUAUUUCCGUAAAAAAUUUAAAAAAGAACGUUGGACCGAAUUAAAAAUUAAAUUUGCAAAAAAGAUAUAAUCCCGAAAUUAUAAAAUAUUACGAGCGGAAAUAGGCAAAAUAUUUUACAAUUAAAUAAACCAUUUAUUACGAUUUUUGCGGUAUAUUUGGCGAUUUACCACGAACCCGGCGACGAUACGCCAGGUUUUUACGCAUUUAAUGACCACGGAAAAAACGUUUUUACCUUUAUAAAUAUUUCUAAAAAUAUAUAUUAUAAUAAUACGUUAUUUAACAAUUAUUAUUUAAUUUAUUUAAUAAACGAUUUUAAACGGUUUAAUUCCGGUUCAUUGCGUAAAUUUUACGGUAAAAAACCGCGUUUUGUAAAAUGCGGCACCCAAUUUGUUAAAAUUAAUACCUACGGUACACGUAUUAUAAAAAAAAUCCUAAUAGGAAAUUAUGUAUUGGAAUUUAAUAAUGUAGCGUACGUUAAAAACUUUUACGUAAAUAUUGUAUUAAAAACGCGUUUGAAAAAAAAACGUAUAAUAUAAUGGUUUGGAUUGCAUUAUCCGUAUAGGAAAUAUGGAAAAUAAUAUUUUAUUAUGCGAAUUGGAACGUUAAAAUAACGUAAUUCUUUUAUAAUAUAAAUUACCUGUUAAUUAUUUGCGCGUCCCAUUCACGCUAUUUAUAGACUUUACAGGAAUAAUUACGUUAAAAACGAUUAUAAAAUGGAUAAAAACAUUCCGCAUACAAAAAAGAAAUUUAAUAAAAAUAUACGACGAAAAAAAAAAUAGUUCGUUAAUUUGGUAUAGGAAAGCCGGCCAUUUCGGCCCGGAAACGUUAAAAACGUUGGUCCAACGGGCUAAAGGUAUAAAAAUUAAAGGACCAAUAUUUUUGGAAUAUAAUAUAUGCGCCCAAACGCACGGGAAAAUAAUGGUAUUAAAACGUUUAAAAAAAAACCGUACCGGCUAUAUUAUAUAAUUCACUUUAAUUUUUUUUAUUUUGAAAAAUUAGGGACGGGUUAUAAAUACCUAUUGCUUUUAAAGAAUAAAUGUAUAGGGCGUUUAAUAACCGUUCCGUUUACCGGAAAAACCAAUAAAAAAUUCGUUACCACCAUUUUCGGAUUCGAACAAUGGUUAAUAAAAUAAUACGGUUUGCAAAUAAUUAAAUUUUUUUAUAAUAAUAAACCAACCCUAAUAGCGCAUUUAAAUUAUAUAUAUUAUUAAAAAUAUUGCAGUAAUUUUGGAAUAAAAAUAAAAACUCCCCCCGCAAAUAUAUACGUACCCAACGGUUAAAUAAAACGUUUAAAACAAAACGUAAUCGUACGCGUUUUUAAAAUACGUUUGGCAACCAAUUUACCCAUUAAUUUGUAACCCGACGUAAUUAUGGCCGCGGUUUAUUUAAUUAAUAUAAAUCUUUCGAUAAAUAAAAAAAGGGUUAAUCCCAAUAAAAUUUUACUGGUAUAAUUCCAGCGAUUUUUCAAAGAUUAUACCCCAAUUUUGCAUAUUAAAUUAAGGAAAAACCUGCGCCCAAAUUGGUUAGGAAUUUAUGCGUACAAUUGCAAAAUAUAUAUAUUAAAUCCGGCCAGGGCAAAAACCCAAAACAGGGUAAUAUUUAAAACGAAUUUUAAAUUUUAUAUCGGAUAUUUGGUAAAUUACAAAAUUAUUAAAAUAUAUUAUAUAUUGUUAAAAGUUUGGGUGUUAACAGGGGAUAUAGGGGUAACCCCUAGGUGCGGCGUGGUAAAUAACCAAUGCUAAAAACGCAAAAUGGUAGGUGGGAAUAUAUUAUAAUUUUGGUAUCGAAAACAAUUAAAUUGGUUGGGGAAAUUUUACUUUAUUUCCUUAUAUAUUUUCCGAUAUCGAAAUGGGGGUCGGCACGCCAAAAAAAUUUCCGGUGCCGCAAAUAAAUUUCCGAAAAAUUAAUUUGUAUGGAUUUUUGAAAAAACACCCUCAUUUGUUAACAAACCAUUUUUGGGUUCGCACGCAAUUGGAAUUUUGGUGAAUUUCAACCCAAUACAGGAUAAUUGAUUCGCAGGUGCAGGGUGGGUAUUAAAUCCGGUAUAGGGUAAAUAAUCCCAUUCGCUAACCUUUAAAUUGCAUUUCUGCAUUAACAAAAUAACGGAAUUUCACCAUUCCACCACCCCAUUCCGGCAUUAUAUAAAAUAAAUUAUAUAUAAAUAAAAAUGGGUUUAUUAUAUGCAAAAUAAUACAUAUAAUUAAUACCCCCUUUCUUUUGCUAUUUAAUCUAAAAAUAAAGUCGGAAAAGAAAAAUACGUAAAAUAAAACCCCCCAAAAAAAAAAAACAAAAAAAAUUCCCCUUUAUGUCCCAACCCAAUUCGAACCCCCAAUACGAACCCCCUGGAUAAAUAAGCCUUUUGUACCGAAUCCCCGAUUGACUGAACCCCAGAUUGGACGAACCCCCGAAUUGAAAAAGACCCCCAGAAUUGUAAUAACCCCCGGAUUUAAACCCACGAUUUACAAAUUAUAACCAACGGAAUUUAUUAUUAAACCAAAUAAUUAAUUUGGCUAUUCGUUAUUAUGGGUUCCAGAAAAAUUUAAUAUAUAGGGUAAAUUAAAAUUACUAAAUCGCCCAAAACGCGAAUUAAUUAAAUUCGGAUUCGAUUUUGGAUAUAAGGUCGGUAUAAAUUGUUUAAUAAUUAACCUGAACAGGGUAGGUUUGGGUAGCCCGGUUGGUAUUGGGCUAAUAAAAAUCCAAUAAUCGCAAACAAAAGAAAAAAAUUGUGGUAAUUAAUUAACGAAUUAAUUAGGUGCCCUACAAUUUAAUAGGUAAAAAUUAAAUUUAUAGGGGUUUUAACCCUAUAAAUUUUAAAAAAAUAUUGUGAAUUGGAAGCGUUAGGGGUUUUGUAAAGCCGUUAGCGGGUAUUUGUUUGGAUUCCAGGUAUUUUAGGGUUACCAAUCCUUUUAUAAUUAAUUCCUUUACGUAAUAAAAUUUUAAUAACGUGUGUUUAAUACGUUGGUGGUGCGUAAGGUUAUAUACGUUAAUUAUAAAGCCUGUAUUAUUUGCAAAUAUUGCAAUAGGGCCUUUUACAGGUAGUCCAAUUUUUGUAAAUAGGUUUUUAAACCACUGUGUUUUACGCAGGAUUUCCGUUAAGGCGUCGGUUUCGGCUUUUGGGGUGCUUAAAAUUAUAAUAUUAGCCUUUUUGCAUUUCCACGUUAUAGGGCCCUUAAAUAGGGUAUAUAAAUAUCCGUAAAUGGAUUUUAAAUUUUCCCUAGCCCCGGCAAAAUCGCUGUUACUAAAACCAAAUAAUUUUAGGCCUUUAAAACCCCCAAUUAAAAAAUUAGGUGGUAAAUUAACUUUAAUUACCCUAUUUCCGUAGCAAAUUGCUAGGGAUUUAAUACCUGCUAAAUAACGAAAUAGGUUUUUAACUGCCGUUAAAUGGAUUGUAAUGGUUUUUGUUAAAAAACGAAAUAAUUAUUAAACCGCAAAACCGAUAUCCGGGCGUGUUAAUAAUAUUAAAUAUAUUAGGGUACCGAUAAUACGUUGUAACAAUUUAAUUUUUAGCGCAUUUACGGGUUUGCCCCCGUUAUAUUUUAACAUACCCGGCUAUAAAAAAAUAAAAAUAGGUUUGCAAUUAAUUAAUCCGAACGUUGCUAAUAUUUCCUUUAUAUAUUAAUUUUGAUGGAGCCAAAACAGGCGGUUAGGCCUGUCCUUUAUAAUUUAAACGUUUAAAAAAUAGGUUGCAGGGCCCCUGUUUUCCAAUGCGUAUAUUUUGUUAAAACGGGCUUUUAAAUCCUAAAUAUAUUGCAAUUUAAAACCUAUUAGCAGGCAAUCGUUAAUAAAAGUAACAAUAAAAUAUUUGGAUUUAGCAUUAUAAAAAACAGCGGGAUUAGAAAUUAGCGGUUUAAAACCUUUUGUAAAAAGUAGGUUUUUUAAUUUUAUUUACCAUUUUUUUGGGCCCUGUUUCAAACCGUAUAACGUUUUUUCCAACUGUAUAAUUUGCAUUUCCUUUGGAUUAUAGCCCAUUUGUAUUAAAAUUUUAGCGGUGGUAGGGUUGCAAAAUUUAACCCAAUCGCUAAAACCCUUUGGAAUUUGCAAAUAAAUAUUUACGUCGGUAAAAUUAUUAUUUAAAAACGCACCGAUAAAAUCGAUUUGUUUUAUUUCCCAAUUUUGUGCAUUAAUUAUAGCCAAUAAUAUACGCCAGGUAAGCGGUAUAUUAGUGCUAGCAAAAAUCUCGAUAUAAUUUAAAUUUUCGACCUGUAAAAACCCCCUAAUAAUAAACCUGGUUUUAUAUUUUAUAAAUUUAUUAUUUUUAUCCUUUUUUAAUUUAAAUACCGGCCGGGUAAAAAUUAAUUUACGGUUUGUAGGUAUUUUAAUUUUAGGGAUAAAACGGAAAGUUUUUGCAAUAAUAAUCUGGUCGAAUUUAAACGUUAAAACUGCUAACCAUUUAGCAUUUUCAGGGUUUUUUAGGGCCUGUUGGUAAUUAUUUGGUUCGCCGUUUUUAAUGGGUUUUUUUUUGUUUUUUUUGGGUUUGGUAACAAAAAUAAUGCACGUAAUUAAUAUCCAUAGGAUCUGGGUUUUUAAACUGCGAAUUUAAUUCCAUAUUUUAUAUUUUAAAUACCGAAAACACCGGAAUUUUCGUUAUUUUAAAUGUUAAAUUAGGCACCGCUACCGUUAUAAAUUUUGGGGGGCGAAUAAUAGGUUGUACAGGCCAGGGAAAUAUUAUAAUUGCGGAAGGUAGGGGAUUAUUAUCCAUUGGAUCCAAAAUUUUGGCGCUGUAGAUUUCGUUUUUAAAUUUAAAAUUAAAAUCCCCUUUUAAAUUUGGAUUUUCCCCUCUUAAAAUUUGUAACGUUUCCCCUGGAAUAACCAAAUUUUCAACGGGUAUACUUUUUAAAAUUUUUACGGUAAAGGUUUUAUAUACGGCCUGUUUGGCGGGGGCGUAAACCAACGUUGUAAAAUUGGAUAAAUGGGCUAAAAAUUUUAUUAUUUCCGUUCGGAAAACCAAUUUGUUGGAUUUUUGGCGUUUUUCCAGCGGUAUAAUAAUUUGGUAUACGGUACCAAUUACCCGAUAAUGGCCUAAAUUAGGUUUAUGUGGUAAUCCAGGUUGAAAUUCGGAAUAAAAUUCCUCGUAGGGUAUUAAUUCCCUGUUAAUUACCGCUGUACGGUUAACCAAAUUAACCAUAACCGGUAAUAAAUAAUAUUAUAAAUAUAAUGGUAAACCUGCCGUUAAAAUGGUAAAUUUUAAUUUAUCCAAAAUAACCUUAACGGACCGUUCCGUUAACCCGUUUUGGCCGUGGUUAUAAAGGUUGGAAAUGCUAAAAUUAACAUUUUUAUUUGCAAACCAAUUUUGAAAUUUUAUAUUUAUUUCGUGCCCCCCAUCGAAAUAAAAUUUAGUGGGGUAACGCCCGUACGUAGUUUUUAAAAUUUUAAAAAAGUUUUUAAUAGCCAUUAAAACCGUAGGUCCGGUUUUAUUCCGUAAUAAAAUCGACCACCGAAAACGUAAUUUUCGAUCCAUUAACAACAAAAAUACGGGCUUUUUAUUGUGAGGGUUAGGUUUAAGGGUUAUUAUAUUACUUUUUAUGGAAUUAAAAAUAUUAGGGGGUGUAAGGAAUACCCUUUUAUUUGUACGUUUAAUAAAAAUAGUUUUAAUGCAAAUAAUGCAGGUAAUAGCCCUAAUUUUGUCGAAAUUAGGUAAACCGUCUGCGUUUUUAGCGGUUUUUUUAAAUAAUAAUAACCCUAUAUACCCUAAACGCCUAUAUUAUAACAGGGUUGUUUAGGCCUGGAUUUCGUUACAAUCGCCUGUAAUUCCGUUUUUUUUAAUUGUUACCCAAUUAUCGGUAAUUCGAUUUAGGUUUAAAAGGAAAUAAUUUACAGGGGCCUGCACUAAUUUCGGUAUUAAAAAAGGUUUUAACAACGGAUUUUUUGUGUGGGAAACCCCCUUUUUUUCGAUAUUAGCCCCUUUUAUAUUUGGUUGCAUAAAAGGGUUAUUUAGCGGUUUACCGGGCCUACGGGACCCAAUUUCACGUGGAUUUUCAGGGGUUUUUGCAUUAAAUUUUUGCAUUACAGGUAAAUUUACGGUUAUAUUUUUAUUUUGUUCGGAAUUUAACAUUUCCGUUACCGUAUUUUUUUCCGGUUCCGAAUCGGUGUAAAUUUUAUAAUCGUUUUGGUUUUUAGGGAUUAUAUUAUUUAAUUUUAUUUUUAACGGGGCUGCGUAAUUUUUUGUAACCCCCUGUAAAAUUAGGUUAAAGGCGGUGUUAUAUUUACCAAUUAUAUAGGCGUAAUUCGAAACCGUAGGUGUAGUAUUUCGAAUAAAAAUAUUGCACCCUUUUACCUCCAAACAGAACGAAUUUUUGGCGGUAUUUAGGCGUUCCCACGCCUUGCGAUCCCGAUCGUACAAGGUAUUUUUUAAUAAUACGCCCCCUAUAUUGUAAUAUAUUAGCCCAUUAACGAUAUUUAUUCCAAACGAAGGGAUAUAUAGCACGUUAUUUAACGUAAUUUUUCUAAAUUCGUCAAUUUUGGGGCUAUACCGGACCUAUAUUUUAACAAUUCCAGUGCCAAUAGGCCUAACAGGGCCAUUUCCGGUACCGAUUUCAAUUAUUGAGCCGGGGGUAUAAUCGGUAAAAAAUUGUUUAUUUGUAAAAAUAUAGUGCGUACUAUUUGUAUUGUACAGGACCGGGUAGCCUAACCGCCGGGGUUUAGGGUUCUUAUUUACGCCGUUUCCAAACUUCGUUUUAAUUUUAAAAUUAAUUGCUAAUACCUGUGGUUUUAACGUUUUACCGGUAUAAUCGGGUUCCGAAUCCGAUUUCGAAUAUAAUUUUAUAACCCCGUUAAUAGCGGAAUUAACCUUUUGUUGCAAUACCCGGUACGGUAAAUUA